rnacentral:rRNA from 1 species
CACGUAGGGUGCGAGCGUUUGUCCGGAAUUAUUGGGCGUAAAGAGCUCGUAGGCGGUGUGUCGCGUCGGCCGUGAAAACCUGCAGCUUAACUGUGGGCUUGCGGUCGAUACGGGCAUCACUGGAGUUCGGCAGGGGAGACUGGAAUUCCUGGUGUAGCGGUGAAAUGCGCAGAUAUCAGGGAGGGAACACCGGGUGGCGAAGGCGGGUCUCUGGGCCGAUACUGACGCUGGAG